rfam:Schistosoma rodhaini strain Burundi genome assembly, scaffold: SROB_scaffold0009209
AGACUGCUGAGGAGUCCCAUAAUAGGACGAAACGGCCGUCCAGUGC